UCUACGGGCGGCAGCAGUGGGGAAUAUUGGACAAUGGGCGAAAGCCUGAUCCAGCCAUGCCGCGUGUGUGAAGAAGGCCUUCGGGUUGUAAAGCACUUUCAGUGGGGAAGAAAGCCUUGGGGCUAAUACCCUCGAGGAAGGACAUCACCCACAGAAGAAGCACCGGCUAACUCCGUGCCAGCAGCCGCGGUAAUACGGAGGGUGCGAGCGUUAAUCGGAAUUACUGGGCGUAAAGCGCGCGUAGGCGGUCUGAUAAGCCGGUUGUGAAAGCCCCGGGCUCAACCUGGGAACGGCAUCCGGAACUGUCAGGCUAGAGUGCAGGGGAGGAAGGUAGAAUUCCCGGUGUAGCGGUGAAAUGCGUAGAGAUCGGGAGGAAUACCAGUGGCGAAGGCGGCCUUCUGGACUGACACUGACGCUGAGGUGCGAAAGCGUGGGUAGCAAACAGGAUUAGAUACCCCAGUAGUC
rnacentral:rRNA from 1 species